rnacentral:rRNA from 1 species
UUAAGCGAAUAAGGGCAUAUGGUGGAUGCCUUGGCGCCAGGAGCCGAAGAAGGACGCGGUAAGCUGCGAAAAGGUACGGGGAAGAGCAAGCAUCUAUUGAUCCGUACAUAUCCGAAUGGGGCAACCCGGCAGAAGAAGUUCUGUCAUCCGAAAGGAAGGUAAACCCGGGGAACUGAAACAUCUAAGUACCCGGAGGAAAAGAAAUCAAACGAGAUACCCAAAGUAGCGGCGAGCGAAAUGGGAAGAAGCCCAAACCGUACCACUUCGGUGGUACGGGGUUGAGGACCGGCACAAGUUAAGUAACGUUCAGCUGAAUGACCUGGAAAGGUCAGGCAUAGGAGGUAAAACCCCCGUAGGCGAAGGACGGGACGUAAUGGCCGGGAUCCAGAGUAUCGCGGGACACGAGAAACCCUGCGAGAAGCUGGGGGGACCACCCUCCAAGGCAAAAUACUACCUGGCGACCGAUAGCGCAUAGUACCGUGAGGGAAAGGUGAAAAGAACCCCGGAAGGGGAGUGAAAUAGAACCUGAAACCGUAUGUCUACAAGCAGUCGAAGCUCCGUAAGAGAGCGACGGCGUGCCUAUUGAAGAAUGAACCGGCGAGUUACAUUAUAUUGCGAGGUUAAGUGGAAGACACGGAGCCGAAGCGAAAGCGAGUCUUAAUAGGGCGGCAAGUAAUAUGGUGUAGACCCGAAACCGCAGUGAUCUAUGCAUGUCCAGGUUGAAGCGCAGGUAAAAAUGCGUGGAGGACCGAACCCGUGAGUGUUGAAAAACUUUGGGAUGAGGUGUGCAUAGGGGGUGAAAUGCCAAUCGAACGCGGAGAUAGCUGGUACUCCCCGAAAUAGCUUUAGGGCUAGCCUCAAGGGAAGAUUACAGACGGUAGGGCACUGAUCAGGCAAGGGGGCGUAAAGCCUGCCGACCCUAGUCAAACUACGAAUGGCUGUAAUAAAUACUUGGGAGUCAGACUGCGAGUGAUAAGACCCGUAGUCGAAAGGGAAACAGCCCAGAUCACCGGCUAAGGUCCCAAAUGCUGUGCUAAGUGGAAAAGGAUGUAGGACUUCAUAAACAACCAGGAUGUUGGCUCAGAAGCAGCCACCAUUAAAAGAGUGCGUAAUAGCUCACUGGUCGAGAGGCUCUGCGCCGAAAAUGACCGGGGCUCAAGCACAGAACCGAAGCCGUGGCAGGAUAUAGCAAUAUAUACUGGGUAGGGGAGCAUACUGUAUGCGAUAGAAGGUGUACCGUAAGGAGCAUUGGAGCGUACAGCAGAGAGAAUGCCGGUAUGAGUAACGAAAAGAACAGUGAGAAUCUGUUCCACCGAAAGCCUAAGGGUUCCUGGGCAACGCUCGUCGACCCAGGGUAAGCCGGGACCUAAGCCGAGGCACAGAGCAUAGGCGAUGGACAACAGGCGAAAAUUCCUGUACCGUUUCAGAUCGAUUGAGCGAAGGAGUGACACAGAAAGCAGUUUGAGCGCGCGGAUGGAAGAGCGCGUCGAAGCCGGUAGGCUGCAUGGCAGGCAAAUCCGCCAUGUGAAAAGGCCGAGAGGUGAUAGAUAGGCAAAUCUUCGGAGGAGCCGAAUUGAAACGAGCUACGCUGUCUCGAGAAAAGCUCCUAGCGAGAGAAGAAGCGCCCGUACCAAAACCGACACAGGUAGGCGCGGAGAGAAUCCUAAGGUGCGCGGGACAACCCUCGUUAAGGAACUCGGCAAAAUAUAUCCGUAACUUCGGGAAAAGGAUAGCCGCAGCUGGUAAAGCCCAUAUGGGUAGAGCUGGAGGCGGUGGCACAAGAGAGGCCCAAGCGACUGUUUAGCACAAACACAGGUGCCUGCGAAAGAGAAAUCUGACGUAUAGGUGCUGACACCUGCCCGGUGCCGGAAGGUUAAGAAGAGGAGUCAGGAGCAAUCCGAAGCCCCGAAUUGAAGCCCCGGUAAACGGCGGCCGUAACUAUAACGGUCCUAAGGUAGCGAAAUUCCUUGUCGGGUAAGUUCCGACCCGCACGAAAGGUGUAACGACUUGGGCACUGUCUCAACGAGGGACCCGGUGAAAUUGAAAUACCUGUGAAGAUGCAGGUUACCCGCGACUGGACAGAAAGACCCCAUGGAGCUUUACUGUAACCUGGCAUUGAUAUUCGGUAAAUAACGUACAGGAUAGGUGGGAGACUAGGAGACAGGUGCGCAAGUGCCUGAGGAGUCAUUGUUGGGAUACCACCCUUUAUUUAACGGGCAUCUAACUGGAAGAGCAACGAUCUUCAAGACAGUGCCAGGCGGGCAGUUUGACUGGGGCGGUCGCCUCCGAAAGAGUAACGGAGGCGCCCAAAGGUUCCCUCAGCGCGGCCAGAAAUCGUGCAAAGAGUGCAAAGGCAGAAGGGAGCUUGACUGCGAGACCAACAAGUCGAGCAGGUGCGAAAGCAGGGCUUAGUGAUCCGGUGGUACCGAGUGGAAGGGCCAUCGCUCAACGGAUAAAAGCUACCCUGGGGAUAACAGGCUAAUCUCUCCCAAGAGUCCAUAUCGACGGGGAGGUUUGGCACCUCUAUUUGGGUUUUAUCACAUCCUGGGGCUGGAGCAGGUCCCAAGGGUUGGGCUGUUCGCCCAUUAAAGUGGUACGUGAGCUGGGUUCAGAACGUCGUGAGACAGUUCGGUCCAUAUCCAUCGCGGGCGUAAGAAACUUGAAGGGGGCUGCUCCUAGUACGAGAGGACCGGAGUGACGAACCAAUGGUGUACCAAUUAUCCCGCCAGGGGUACAGUUGGGUAGCUACGUUCGGAAAGGAUAAACGCUGAAAGCAUCUAAGCGUGAAACCUGCCUUAAGAUGAGGUUUCCCAGAGCCGUAAGGCUUGGAAGGCACCUUGAAUAAGACGAGGCAGAUAGGCCGGGAGUAGAAGUACAGUAAUGUACGAAGCGGACUGGUACUAAUAAGCCGAGAGCUUAACUUA